rnacentral:lncRNA from 1 species
AUUUCAUCAAGUCAGUGACCAACAGAAGAAGGUGAAAGUCUUUGACAAUGGACCAACGCACUACUAUAAUUCUAGAAAUAGCCUUUCCUGACCCCUCCAGGAAAUCAGCGCAUACCAUGAAGUAUGAAAUGCACACAUGCAGAACUGUGAAUGUUAUUAAUGAUCAUAAAACCACCCCACUCCUUUGAAAAUCUAAGCCUUAUUUCCGACACAAUUACCCCUACGGCAGACUGGUUAUUCAUGGUGGAAAGAUGUAUUUCCUUCCCUUUGUUAAACUUUACCAGUUAUUAACUUUACUGAAUGAGAAGCUUCUUGUAUUAUGGACAAGUUGAAGCUUUUCCAGGAAGGGAGAGCUGCACAUGGAAAUCCUCCAGCCCGGGUCUGGAGGUAUCCGGCAACAGCCUCUGCUAAGUUAGAGGAAUUCUCUCUGUCAGGUCCACUGAUGCCCAUCUAGGAGUAGAAGUUGGUAUCUUGGCCAGGCAGGAUCUGAAAAUUGUAUGUUCUUGGGCACUAGAGUGAGGUAACUCGACCCUCACCCCCACUCAGCAUCUAUUUGCAGGUGCUGAGUAAUACAAUGGAGGAAAUGGCUUGGUAAGCUCUGGAACCUGUAGGGUAAGCUGUGCACACACAUGUUGUCUGACAGACUGGCUGUCUGGGCAUUCUGGAAUCCCCUUAUUCUUUCACCACUCGUUUCAAUAGGAACAGCCAAUCAGGGCAUCUUCCCAAAUACUGAAACUAGAACUGAGGAAGAUCAGCUUCUCUCUCGAGUUCCUGGACAAGUAAACUCAAGAGGGACCUCUAUACAGCUUUGACACCCUGAAGUCUGGGAUAUUGGCGGUGGUGUUGAUGGUGGUGGCAGCAACACAUGGCAGAGAUGGCAGCGUGUUCAAGAGCAGCUGCAAUCAUGCAUGCAAAGUACAGCAGUGCCCAGCAGAUGCAAUGCCAGUUUCUAAUUAAUGCAAUGGCGUGAAGGAGUCCCACAGAAUCUACAGUGAUGUCUGGCAAAGCCAGCACGCCUGGGGUUUGGCAAGUCCAGUGGUAUAAGAAGUAAAGAAACUAGAAUAGGAACAAAGGAAUAAACUGUGGCUAACUGGACA